GUGGGUCACGGCCCACCAAGGCGACGACGGGUAGCCGGCCUGAGAGGGCGACCGGCCACACUGGGACUGAGACACGGCCCAGACUCCUACGGGAGGCAGCAGUGGGGAAUAUUGCGCAAUGGGCGGAAGCCUGACGCAGCGACGCCGCGUGAGGGAUGACGGCCUUCGGGUUGUAAACCUCUUUCAGCAGGGACGAAGCGAGAGUGACGGUACCUGCAGAAGAAGCACCGGCCAACUACGUGCCAGCAGCCGCGGUAAUACGUAGGGUGCAAGCGUUGUCCGGAAUUAUUGGGCGUAAAGAGCUCGUAGGCGGUCUGUCGCGUCGGCUGUGAAAUCUCGGGGCUCAACCCCGAGCCUGCAGUCGAUACGGGCAGACUAGAGUGCUGUAGGGGAGACUGGAAUUCCUGGUGUAGCGGUGAAAUGCGCAGAUAUCAGGAGGAACACCGGUGGCGAAGGCGGGUCUCUGGGCAGUAACUGACGCUGAGGAGCGAAAGCGUGGGGAGCGAACAGGAUUAGAUACCCUGGUAGUCCGCGCCGUAAACGGUGGGUGCUAGGUGUGAGCGGUAUUCCACGCCGUUCGUGCCGCAGCUAACGCAUUAAGCA
rnacentral:rRNA from 1 species